UUAUGGAGAUGCUUAGAGGUUAAAGGAGUCCCAGUUUCCUACAUAAGGGUUUUUUCUUAAUUAUUGAAUUGAAGUUAUAUAAAAAAUGAACUGACAAAGCGUCUGUUCACGGAGUGAUUAAAGACAUGUAUGAUGGAGCUAAGACUCGGUUUAGGAUAGUAGGAGGCGACUCCUAGCAUUUUCCGAUUGUUACGGGGUUGCACCAAGGUUCUUUGUUCAGCCCUUUCCUCUUUGCCCUGGUGAUGGAUGCCAUAACGCAUAAUAUUCAAGGAGAGGUACCAUGGUGUAUGAUAUUUGCUGAUGAUAUAGUCCUAAUUGACGAGACAAGACGUGGCGUCAACGGGAGACUAGAGGUUUGGAGACAAGCUCCUGAGUCUAAAGGUUUCAGGUUGAGCAGGACGAAGACGGAAUAUCUUGAGUGCAAGUUUGGGCUCGAGCCGACGGACGCGGGAGUAGAACUGAGGCUUGACUCCCAUGUCAUCCCUCAGACGGUAGUUUCAAGUACCUUGGGUUAGUUAUUCAGGGGACCGGGGAGUGACGGACGUGGGAGUAGAAGUCAGGCUUGACUCCCAAGUCAUCCCUUAGAGGGGUAGUUUCAAGUACCUUGGGUCGGCUAUUCAGGGGACCGGGGAGAUCAACGAGGAUGUCGCACACCGUAUAGGGGUGGGGUGGAUGAAGUGGAGGUUAGCAACAUGAGUCAUGUGUGACAAGAAAGUGUCAUUGUUACUCAAAGGUAAUUUUUAUCGAGCAGUGGUUAGAUCGACCAUGUUGUAUGGGACCGAGUGUUGGCCAGUUAAAGACUCUCACAUCCAGAAGAUGCAAGUAGCAGAGAUGAGGAUGUUGAGGUGGAUGUGUGGUCAUACAAGUAUGGAUAAGAUUAGGAAUGAAGUUAUUCGAGAGAGGAUGGGUGUGGAGCCCAUAGAGGACAAGAUGCGGGAAGUAAGACUCAGAUGGUUCGGGCAAAUUCAGAGGAGGAGCACUAAUGCACAGGUGAGAAGUUGUGAGCAAUUGGCGGUGCUGGACACGAGGAGAGGUAGAGGGAGACCUAAGAAUUAUUGGAGAGAGGUGAUCAGGCAGGACAUGAUGCGACUUAGGAUUACUGAGGGCAUGGCCCUUGACAUGGGAUUGUGGUAGUCGAGCAUUAAGGUUUUAGGUUGGGUGGAAGUUGGGAAUAUUUUUACAGCGCGCUAGAGUGAGACUAGAAGUUAGGCUUAGAAUCAGCUACUGAUGCAGGGCUUUAUAUUAUAGAUAUUAGUAUACUUUCCUCUUUCUCGUUUUCUUAUAUUCCUUAUAUUGUUAUUAUUUUAUUAUUUAUGUUAUGUUGUAUAUUUUAUGUUAUUUAUCAUGAGUUUAUUGCUAGUACUAAUAUAUUGCCAUUUGUUUUUGUUACAAGUUUCCUUCUUGAGCCGAGGAUCACCUGGAAACAGCCUCUCUGCCCUAAGGGUAGGUGUAAGGUCUGCGUACAUAUUACUCUCCCCAAACCCCACUUGUGGGAAUACACUGGGUUGUUGUUGUUGUAAGUUUGACUGGGCAAUAAGCUUUCCAAAAUUUGCUCACAAAAACUUGAAUACCAAAAUGAUCGACUACAUGGCAUACUAUCUUAGCGUCACCAGUGUAUAUAUAAAAAAACUAAAACUUAAAAUACAAUAUUUUUUAUGAUAGCAAUAAUGGUAGCAAUAGCGGUAGGAAGGAAAUUUUACGGUGGAAAAAACAUAGAAUGGAGGGGUAAAAUGGAUUAGGAGCAUUAAGGUGGCAAGCCAUAUGGUAUCCAUAUCAUCUCAUAUUGGUGUCAUGUAGUAUUACAUGUCUAUAUUGAAUAAACUUAACGAAAAAGGAGUACAUUUGAAUCAAUAGUAUAACAACAAGGAUACGAUUGGACUCAAAGUAUAAUGAAGAUACAUUUGGUAUAUGAGUAUAUUUGACCCUUUUUCGAAUUUAAUAUUAUCUUAUACUUCAUUUGAUUUUACAUUAUUAGCUUAUAAGCAUAUUGGUAUAAUUGAUAUAAUUUUGCACCACAUUUAAUGCAGAUAACCAGGGGUUUGUAAAACAAAUCGAC
rnacentral:lncRNA from 1 species